GACGAACGCUGGCGGCGUGCUUAACACAUGCAAGUCGAACGGUAAGGCCCUUCGGGGUACACGAGUGGCGAACGGGUGAGUAACACGUGGGUGAUCUGCCCUGCACUUCGGGAUAAGCCUGGGAAACUGGGCCUAAUACCGGAUAGGACUCCUGGCUUCAUGGGUGGGGGUGGAAAGCUUUUGCGGUGUGGGAUGGGCCCGCGGCCUAUCAGGUGGGUGGUGGGGUAAUGGCCUACCAAGGCGAUGACGGGGAGCCGGCCUGAGAGGGUGACCGGUCACACUGGGACUGAGAUACGGCCCAGACUCCUACGGGAGGCAGCAGUGGGGAAUAUUGCACAAUGGGCGCAAGCCUGACGCAGCGACGCCGCGUGAGGGAUGACGGCCUUCGGGUUGUAAACCUCUUUCAGCUAUGACGAAGCGCAAGCGACGGUAGUAGCAGAAGAAGGACCGGCCAACUACGUGCCAGCCGCCGCAGUAA
rnacentral:rRNA from 1 species